rnacentral:rRNA from 1 species
AGAGUUUGAUCCUGGCUCAGAUUGAACGCUGGCGGCAGGCCUAACACAUGCAAGUCGAACGGUAACAGGAAUCAGCUUGCUGAUUUGCUGACGAGUGGCGGACGGGUGAGUAAUGUCUGGGAAACUGCCUGAUGGAGGGGGAUAACUACUGGAAACGGUAGCUAAUACCGCAUAAUGUCGCAAGACCAAAGAGGGGGACCUUCGGGCCUCUUGCCAUCGGAUGUGCCCAGAUGGGAUUAGCCAGUAGGUGGGGUAAAGGCUCACCUAGGCGACGAUCCCUAGCUGGUCUGAGAGGAUGACCAGCCACACUGGAACUGAGACACGGUCCAGACUCCUACGGGAGGCAGCAGUGGGGAAUAUUGCACAAUGGGCGCAAGCCUGAUGCAGCCAUGCCGCGUGUAUGAAGAAGGCCUUCGGGUUGUAAAGUACUUUCAGCGGGGAGGAAGGGAGUAAAGUUAAUACCUUUGCUCAUCGACGUUACCCGCAGAAGAAGCACCGG